GCAGCGGUAGUUCAGUUGGUUAGAAUACCGGCCUGUCACGCCGGGAGUCGCGGGUUCGAGUCCCGUCCGCUGCGCCA
rnacentral:tRNA from 1 species